UGUAUAAACCCCUUUUGUUUUUGAGGCUAAGCUUUGUUUAUUAUAAUUCUGUUUGUAUGCAUUUCUUGUGCGAUUGCACGGGGAAAAAAAAUAAAGGUGGAGAGUGGGAUGUUAGAGAUGGGGCAUAAGGGGUUAAGAUGAGGGAGAUAGGAGGGGGCGGUUGAUAAUACAGAGUCAUAACGUAAGAGUGUCAUAAGUAAAUUGCAUGACUCAAUUCUCACAUACACACACUUGGAGACAUGAUUUCCAAUGCUUUUACAAGUUUUUUUUUUCAAAAUAAAUAAAUCCUCCAUGUCUGUCUGGAUCACCUUUUAUGUGGACUAAUUCUAGUUGGGUAUUAUUGUAAAUAUGCUAACGUGGCUGACGACUAGCAUGUAGCGUGUCACAAACAAGUUUUAGAAUAACUGAACGCAGUUAAUAAAGUCUGACUGCCAAACUAUGUCUCGCUUAAUGCACCUUACAGUUUAUUGCACCUUAUAUUUGACAAAAGUUCCUAAAUAGACCAUUCAUUGACGUCGCAUUUUAUGAUCGAGUAUACCCGUUGUCCGCAAAAUAUGGUACUUAAAAAUGUAGGCAUUGACUGUAACAAAAUGCAGAAUUCAUUACACAUUUAAAUUUUUAAGAAAACUCUACUCUCAAAGUUUUUUCACAUAUAAAUCAUUAAAAAAAAAAAAUUUAAAUAAUGCAUUUUUUACAGUAUAGCUUUCCUAACGUAGCUUUGCUGUUGCGUUUUGAGCAACAAAAUACGUAUGAACCUGCUUUUUCUGAGCUACAAAAACAUUGAUUUACAUUUAAAAAUUUUGCAAAUUGUUUUUCCUUAAGAAACUAAGAAAAUUCAGUUAAUAACUAAAGCUAUGUCAGUCACAUUUUAAGUUAAAACCUAUGAACUGUCAUGGUGCCUCUGGCCCUCUCUCCUCCCCCUCCCCUCUCUGCUCUGCUCCUGACUCGUCCCAGCUGUGACCACUCAACUCAUCAACAUCCAGACCUACUUUAGGAGAUCCAGUUCCAGCAUUCAUCGCCAGUUCGUCGCCCCUGAUGGACUACAAAUCCACAAGUGGUCACCUGAGUCUCAUUACUCCCAGAGCAGCAGUUUCCUCACGGAAUUUCCUGGAAACACCAAGCCAAAUCUAGACUUCCAGCCACGCCACGAGCCACGAAUAAGCCUCGAGUCCCGCCACAACUUCAUGCCACUUCAAGACCUCCUGCCUCACCAGGACUUCAAACCACGCCAGAAAAUAAACUCUUACUUACCUCACUAUUCACCUGUUUUCCUUCCGGGAUCCACCGCCCUGGUCUGCCCCGCCUAGCAAGCCAUGACGUGAACAACAUAAUUCUGCUUAAGAUGAGUUGAAUACAUUUUUGCACUACUAAUGUAUUUGUGUCUAUCUAAAAUGUUUUAUAAUCUAAAACAAGACUGAACAAAAUGAAUAUUUGCUUAAUUUAGCAUCAAGCUGUAUCUCCCUUCAGAUAGGGAACAUCUUGGCCGCUGACUGUAUAUGAGAACUGGACUAAGUGAUUGGGACAUCACUCAUAAAAAAUACCUUACGUCUGGCUCCAACCAAUUGAAGCCAAUAUGGUCGCCAUUUUUUCAUGAUCCAGAUGCCACCAUGUUGUGGUCACCGAAGUGCAAACACAAAUAAAAAUGUAGCAAUAUGUUUUAAAUAGUGGAGCUAAUUCUUUUGCAUAAAAUUCCCGAUAUGUAUGAUAGAUGAUCCUGAACCCAAUGCCAGCUAAACAAAAUGCCCUAACAUGAGGAAAAACAACACACACACACACACACAAAAAAAACUUUGUCCUUUUUUUCUACCCUCCCCCACCAAUAAUAGAAAUGGUAUAUGCCAGUGAGUUUCCAUGACCACAGCGCCUGAGCAUUGGGGUGUGACCUCGUUUCAAAGGAAAAUCCAAGUCUCCACCUUCUGUUCCAAAUUUAACGCAAACCAGACGUACCAAAUGUUGCAGUUCCACCAGAAUCAACUGGAGACAGGUGGGUGGAUGCAUUGGUGGAUCCAACAGAGCUUCUCGUUUGAUUUUGUCCCAUUUUGAAAGUCGUUUCUAUGAAUGAAUGUUUGUUGAAUUGGGUGGAGGUGCGUUUAACUCUGUUGUCCAAAAUAAAUAAUUCAAACUUAAAUUCUUAAAUCAUCUUGUUUACAUUUGUAAUUUUUUUUACUGGAUGUCAACAAAAUCUUUGCUGAGAUAAUGUACACGUUCAUGUUCUUGUCCAAAUGAAUUUUAAUUGACUCUUUGUAUUGUCCACAUAGAAAAUGUAGCCAGAUGGCUCUGUUGUCUGUGUGUCGGAUGGCGUGUGGGAAACCAGGCUUAGUUUCCCAGGGGGCACGAUGAGCUUCAUCCAGUGUCGAUCCUUGGACAAGCCCCUUCACACUAUUGCCAAACUACGUAGCAACAAGAGGGCUCAAGUCUGCAUCUCCUUGUGCCAGUCCCUAGCUCAGAUAUUGUAUCAGGAAGGUCAUCCAGUGCAAAAAUCUCUGCUAAACCACCUGUGCGACUUUGUGGAAGCUGAUUUGCAAUUUCCACAUGAAAAAUGUCAUAUUUCAGUUGGGCUACUCUGGACACUGCAAUUCUGCAGCUUCUCCCACCUGUUUGGUGUGUGCAUGGCUCUGAUUGGCCACAACGAAACAUGACUUUGCCCUGAGCCAGUCGUAAUUACUUACCCUGUUACCACUUCCGACAGAAAGAGACUUGGAUGCACAGCCCUUCAUUGAUUGAGAGGGUCUGGUGCUCAGAGCUAAGGAUUUUUGAGUAAUACUCAGAAAUGGAGCAAAAAUACCGCUUUGGGUUUGUUUUUGUGAGAAAUUAAUAUAAUACACUAAUAAUAUAAAAAAUUUAAUUUUGCAUGACAUAGCCCCUUUAAAACCCUUUGAUUCCUGAAUUGAUUUCACUUUUCAAAUUAAGGUUAUUUUGGGGGUGACGUGGUUUUAUGCAUAUUUACAUCGAUAGGCGCCAGUGAUUUUAGGACAAUUUAGGAUGAACAAACAGCUUGAGAUUUUAGACAAAAUCCAAAGCAUAGGGAAAAAAACACAUGUGGAUAGCACAUGAAAAAUUCUCACAGGAAGGCCAAGUUUCAUUGUCUGAGGCAAAAGUGUCAACAACCACGCACCAUGCUCCGAAAAAGGAAUCAAAACUACACCACACUUAAGCCCUUGUGUUUUGUGGUUUUAACUCCACAGGCAAUUUAUUGGUUCCCUAGAGAAAGGAAAUGCUUUACCUCCUGUAUUAUGCAUCAAUAAAAUGCUUACGUUUAUAGUGAAGCUAUUUAUCACGCUAAUUACAUUGCACUAAAACCCACAGAAAAGAACCAGCACACUUUAGAGGAGCUAAAUUGAGGUAGGGGCACAGAAAAAAAGAGAUUUUGCCAGUAAUAUGUUGUUCUUUUCUGAAAAUUGACUUUUUACAUUUUUUCAUUAAUUUUUUUAAAGUUUGUAAUUCAGUAAGAGCUUUUGUUAUUGAAAUGUACACAAUCAGUGAUAGGUGUUUUUUAAUAGAAUGCUCAUCAUGUAGAGUGAAACUUAAAAUGUUAUUAAAAGUUAACUAAUGUAAUGAUGAAAAAUGUGAGAAAAGCAAAGAGGCAAAAACUGCCUCACUCCCUCCUCCUCUUUUGGAAUGGUACAACCCAGAAUUCUCCCAUAAGUUCCUAGAAUGUGGGUGUGGCUUGGUGGCAGCAUUUGUUAGGGCUGUGAUGCAAUGCGACUGUGAGUGACUCACCCAUGCCCGAUAUUUAUUUAUUCCUAACACAAACAUAUAUGAAAAGAAAAAAAUAUGAUCGGUUGAAUACCAAAUAAGGUCAACUACUCUACGUGGUUGACAGAAUACAAGAAAACCAGAUUUGUCUUUUUUGUCUUUUGUCCGCCCUGUGGGAUUAAAAGUAAAUCAAUCUUGCAAUCACCUAAUGUUUUUUUCUUUUUUCAAACACCUUAAGUGAAGAUGUGAAGCCAAAUACCUAAGAUGUAAAAGGCUUAGAACUACCUCUUCCACUACUACUUUAUUAUAGAUUAUAAUACAUCUUAAAAUGGUUGAAAAACAAUCCAGAAACCAACUCAUGGAUGGACUUGAACAGGCGUUAUGUGGAAGAAUCAAUCUGUCAGAUCUACCAUUUAUUAGCCAAACAAUAAAAAAAAAACAGGACUGCUUCCAAAGUAGUAAUAUAAACAGCACUAUAACAGCCUGGUGGGAAUUUCUGUGUCAAAGUGUCAAACUCUUCACUUCAACCGAACAAAAUGACACCCCUCUGGAACAACUCUUACAAACAAAAAAAAUAUUACAGUUCCCAGCUUGGCAAGCAGGGGGCGUAACACUAUAGAAGACUUAAUUAUUGGUAGAAAAAUUCACAACACCCUAGGAACAUCAAGAAAAACAUGUCCCCUACCCCAUCCCUGGUAGUGGGUACUGGGCGCUUGGCAACGGCGGCCGUGUUCUCUGGGUGCUGGCUUUCUGGGCCCGGCAACCCUCUCUCCACACAGGGAGAGGGAUCCCUGAUUUCUCUGGCAAGGCCAAG